UUACGGCCGUAUCACGUUGAAACACGGGUUCCCUGACGAUGACCGAAGUUAAGCAACGUCCAGCCUGGUCAGUGCCUAGAUGGGUGACCGCUCGGGAAUACCAGGUGCUGAAAG
rnacentral:rRNA from 1 species